UACGAAGGGGGCGAGCGUUGUUCGGAAUUACUGGGCGUAAAGGGCGCGUAGGCGGCGAGUUUUGUCAGGCGUGAAAGCCCCGGGCUCAACCUGGGAACUGCGCUUGAAACGGGCUUGCUGGAGACCGGGAGAGGAGAGUGGAAUUCCCAGUGUAGAGGUGAAAUUCGUAGAUAUUGGGAAGAACACCGGUGGCGAAGGCAGCUCUCUGGGCCGGAUCUGACGCUGAGGCGCGAAAGCGUGGGGAGCGAACAGG
rnacentral:rRNA from 1 species